AUUGAACGCUGGCGGAAUGCUUUACACAUGCAAGUCGAACGGCAGCACGGACUUCGGUCUGGUGGCGAGUGGCGAACGGGUGAGUAAUGUAUCGGAACGUGCCCAGUCGUGGGGGAUAACGUAGUGAAAAUUACGCUAAUACCGCAUACGAUCUAUGGAUGAAAGCGGGGGAUCGCAAGACCUCGCGCGAUUGGAGCGGCCGAUAUCAGAUUAGGUAGUUGGUGGGGUAAAGGCCCACCAAGACAACGAUCUGUAGCUGGUCUGAGAGGACGAGCAGGCACACUGGAACUGAGACACGGGCCAGAAUCCGACGGGAGGCAGCAGGGGGGAAUUUUGGACAAUGGGCGAAAGCCUGAUCCAGCCAUUCCGCGUGCAGGAUGAAGGCCCUCGGGUUGUAAACUGCUUUUGUACAGAACGAAAAGGUUUCUACUAAUACUAGGAGCUCAUGACGGUACUGUAAGAAUAAGCACCGGCUAACUACGUGCCAGCCGCCGCCGCGG
rnacentral:rRNA from 1 species